CGAGCCUCCCCGCCACUAGGUGGCGUAGCGAACGUGACAGCGGACCUAAUAACAUCCGCCCAAUACGUCAGGUGUUUCAGUCAUUAACUAAUAGCUCGCAAGACAUGACUUUGUUUUUCCAACAUGGGAACUAAGAAAGGAAACAGCUGGGAGGAGAUACCAAACAAGUCUGCUCUUCAAGUUUCGUAAAUCCCCCAAAACGUCUCCAUGGCGUCUGUUUAGCUGAUUGGAGAGCAUGCAUCCGCAGCUGGUGGAUCCAAGACGAUGACUUCUGUUUAGUUGGAUCAGACAUUUUACUGCCGGGAGACAGGCGCUGUUUGAAAGCAAUUGAGAGAGAGAGCGAGAGACCCACAGAGAGGGAGGCAGAGCUGAAGAUGAGGUCAUCCCAUGCAGGGGUCACUGCCCCCCCCCUCCCCAAUAGAGGGCCACAGAUAAAGGCUGCAGGACAGGAUGGAGAGAAUGGGCCUGGAUGGCUGCACAAGACUGACAGAUGCUCAGAGAGCGCACUGAAUGGAAACCUACAAAAUGACACCAUCGACGACCACAGCAUGAGGGACAAUGCAACAGGUCCAUUGUGUUCUAUAGUUAAUACAGAGCAGUGACGUGGCAGGGGACCCGCUUUAGACGACAACCCAUCGAUGUCAACCAACUCAAGUCCUGGUCCACUGUGUGGUUUCGGCUCUGUCGACAACCGUUUAUAAUGAGUCAAUGUCGACGCCCCUCUGACUGGCGUCGACAUUGACUCAUUGUCGUAAAAAGUAUUCUGAAAAAGUGGUGCGGGUGUGACACGUCUGAGGCAUUUUUUUCAUUGGCCGGUGGGGCUGUUAUAAAUUAGCCUAUGAAUUCUGCCUAGCAACAACCAUGAGAUGUUACCGUAUUUCCUUGAAUUGCCGCAGGGCAUAUAGUAUGCGCCUGCCUUGAAUUACUGCCGGGUCAAACUCGCUUCGCAAAAUAAUUAGCGCAUGCUUAGUAUUACUGCCUGCUCAAACUCGUGACGUCACGAGUGACACUUCCCCUGUCAUCGUUUUCAAAAUGGAGGAGGCUGAUUUCAAUACCGGUAAUUUGAAAUCGCAUAAAGGGAAGAAGAUUAAGAGCUAUUCAGUAGGAUUUAAGGUCCAAGCUUACAUCACACUCAAAUUUUUACUGCAUGCCUUUGGUAAGUGCCGUAGGGAGAAGAGGUUUUAAAAUAAUUAGCGCAUGCUUACUUUUACCGCAUGCCUUUUGAUAAACGCAGGAGUAAGAAGAGAUUUUAAAUUAUUUAGCGCCCCGGCGGCAAUUCAAGGAAAUAUAUAUCUCCAAUCCGAGCAAAGCUGUGCAUAAGUGUUUAAUUUGUUGUUGGUUAGUAAGUAGUAAGGAAACAAUUUCCACCAAAGUUUGUAAAACAGUUCUUCUAACAGGCGUUCGGGGGGUCCAAUCAUGUCCGGGAAUGACACUAUACCAGGCCCCGAGUUUAGUUCCAAACUUGUGAAACAAAAGAUACAGUAUUUGCAGCAAAUUCAAACAAACACUAAAGUGCUACUGUUGAAUAGACUUAGAAGUGAAGUGAAGUGAAUUAUAUUUAUAUAGCGCUUUUCUCAAGUGACUCAAAGCGCUUUACAUAGUGAAA